rnacentral:rRNA from 1 species
CCUACGGGUGGCAGCAGUGGGGAAUAUUGCACAAUGGGCGAAAGCCUGAUCCAGCCACGUCGCGUGAGUGAUGAAGGCCCUAGGUUUGUAAAACUCCUUUUAUAGGGGAGUAAAUGACAGUACGUAUCCUUGUAUGCCUGGACAACAUCGAUCCAGCAGGCGCGGUAAUACGCCGGGCGCCAGCGUUAUCCGGAUUUACUGGGUGUAAGGGGAGCGUAGUCGGUUUUUUAAGUCUGUAGUGAAAGCUGGGGGUCCAACCUUAGGAUUGCUGUGGAAACUGGGUAAUUGGAGUACAGUAGAGGCAGGCGGAAUUCGUGGUGUAGCGGUGAAAUGCUUAGAUAUCAGGAAGAACACCGAUUGCGAAGGCAGCCUGCUGGACUGUAACUGACGCUGAGGCUCGAAAGCGUGGGUAGCAAACAGGAUUAGAUACCCGGGUAGUC